UCAGUUGUAAACUUUUGAAAAAACAACCAUAACCAUUUGUUCAGAGUUACAAACAACCUCCAUUCCCAAGGUGUUCAUAACUCUGAGGUUCUACUUAUUAUAAAAUAGUGACUGGCCAAGAUAAUUCAGUGUAGAAUGUGCAGGGAUGCAGUGGUUUCUCAAAUUGCUGCACUUGCUCAGGAAUGACAGGCUUAUAAUCGGGACUGAUGAGAAGAGGGGACCAAGGGGAAGACCCCUGUGAACGUGACUAGAUUUUUGAAACAGGAAACCUAACUAUUGCAGCAAGGAAGUUUUAGCAGCUGGGGGUGGCAGGUGGCCACCUUUGACAGGCGCAAAAUGGAACAACGCUAGAUGAACAGCCAACAAUGAACACCCGCAACAGUGACAGAGAGGAAGGAGGAGCUUGUGGCUAAGACAGGGACUCAGGUCAGCCAGGGGUGCUGGAACAGUUUUUAUAGUGGGGUUGCUGAGAGCCAUUUAACCAGACUGCAAACCCUGUUUAGAAUGGAAACCACUUCAAGCCAGGGGGUGUGGCAGCACCCCGAGUUCCAGCAUCUAUAAGGAGAGCUGGGUUCAAUUCUAGUUCUUUCAGUGUGACUUUGGGCAAGUCACUCAGUCUCUGUGAGCCUCAGUUCCUCAUCCGGAAAAUGAGGAAAAUAGCAAGUCCCUUUGUAUAUUUGGAUUGUAAGCUCUUUGGGGCACGGACCGUCUCUUACUGUAUGUCCGUACAGUGCCUAGCACAAAGGAUCCAUGAUUUUAGAUGGGGCCUCUAGGUGCUACUCUAGUACAAACAAUAAUCGUCAGUGCUAAGUGGUCACCCUUAAUAUGCACCAGUUUUGCUUUAGCUGAAUAGAUCAGGUUACUUCAGUAUGUGCAGUAUUAUCCUACACUUACUAGUGAAAUACCUUGAAUACUGCAAAUAUCAAAGUAAAGUUCUUCAGCUGUCUUAGGCCACUGGUAAGGAUUUAAGGGUGAACGCUAUAACAUAACAACCCUAAGGAGUCAGCUAAACAUGCAAAGUGGCAGUAUAGACAAGACCAACUGACACUCAGAUAACAUUUUUUCAACUGAAUUCUCCUGCCUUGACUGAAAACUUUCAUAUUGCAGGGCACUAUGCUACACCUCUCUUUCCAGCUACAGUAUCCACAACAGAGGGACACAAAGAACUGCCAUAGCGUCAAUUGUGUGAAUCACAAAUGUGUGUUUCAUUCCAGUGCAAUGAAGUUAAUGAGCUCUUAUCAGCUACUGGAUCGGUGUUGGCAAUAGAACAAACAUCAACUUGCCACUGAAACUUUUAACUCUAUUAGCCACCUCCCUCUGUGUUGUGUAAUAGCUACCAGGUAGCUAGCUGGAUAGUUUGCAGUGUUAUGGUCGUGUUGGUCCCAGGAUCCCAGAAAGACAAGGUAGGUGAGAGAAUAUCUUUUAUUGGACCAACUUCUGUUAGUGGAAGAGAGAAGCUUCUGAGCUUCACAGAGCUCUGACAGACCUGAAGAAGACCUCUGUGAAGCUUGAAAGCUUGUCUCUUCCACUAACAGCAGCUGGGCCAAUAAAAGAUAUUACCUCAUCCACCUUGUCUCUCUCAGGUAGAUAGACAGAUCUGGUGGUUUAAAGUGUGAAAUCCUUCCUUUUCUUUCUCUUUUUCUUAUUCCAUUUUGAAUGCAAUGCCUUUCAGUUUUCAUUGUAAGCACUUUGGGACAAGAGACCAUGGAUUUGUCCAGGGUUGAACCCAAGAAUAAAUACUAUUUCUAAUA